CAAGGUUUCCGUAGGUGAACCUGCGGAAGGAUCAUUUGAUGAAUAAACAACCCGGGGGAUGUGCAGAGAGGCCCUGCACCGACGGCAACGUCGUGUUUGCGGGCCCUCUGUGUGUCUCCCAUUCCACACCCAAACCCCUGUGCACCUUUGGGACCGGUGGCCGAGAGGUCGUCCGGGCCCCUUUUCACAAACUCUGUAAACGUCUAAAGAAUGUCUGGCGGUGCAACCGUCCUAAACAUAAAAACAACUUUCAACAACGGAUCUCUUGGCUCUCGCAUCGAUGAAGAACGCAGCGAAAUGCGAUAAGUAAUGUGAAUUGCAGAAUUCAGUGAAUCAUCGAAUCUUUGAACGCACCUUGCGCCCUCUGGUAUUCCGGAGGGCAUGCCCGUUCGAGUGUCUUGACAUCAUCGCUCCCCUCGGGUUUUGCUCGUGUGGGAAGCGGACGUGGGGGUCUCUGCUGCGGCGACGCGGCUCCCCUUGAAUGCAUCGGUCGUGCUUGAAGGUGCGCCUUGACGUUGUAAUUUCCCUCGUCUCGGAAACCCUCGAACCGACCUCGGCCCUGCCUCUGGAGUGGCGGCCAUUUCGUUUUGACAUCUGACCUCGAAUCGGGUAGGACUACCCGCUGA
rnacentral:rRNA from 1 species